UACGUAGGCAGCGAGCGUUGUUCGGAAUUACUGGGCGUAAAGAGUGUGUAGGCGGUGCUCUAAGUUCGGUGUGAAAUCUCCUGCUUAACUGGGAGGGUGCGCCGAAAACUGGAGUGCUCGAGCGUGGGAGAGGAAAGCGGAAUUCCUGGUGUAGCGGUGAAAUGCGUAGAUAUCAGGAGGAACACCUGCGGUGUAGACGGCUUUCUGGACCGUAGCUGACGCUGAGACACGAAAAGCGUGGGGAGCAAACAGG
rnacentral:rRNA from 1 species